UACGUAGGGUGCGAGCGUUGUCCGGAAUUAUUGGGCGUAAAGGGCUCGUAGGCGGUUUGUCGCGUCGGGAGUGAAAACCUUGGGCUUAACUCAGGGCUUGCUUUCGAUACGGGCAGACUAGAGGUAUGCAGGGGAGAACGGAAUUCCUGGUGUAGCGGUGAAAUGCGCAGAUAUCAGGAGGAACACCGGUGGCGAAGGCGGCAUCCUGGACCGGCAUUGACGCUGAGGCGCGAAAGCCAGGGGAGCAAACGGG
rnacentral:rRNA from 1 species